AUUGAACGCUGGCGGCAGGCCUAACACAUGCAAGUCGAACGAGUGGCGGACGGGUGAGUAAUGUCUGGGAAACUGCCUGAUGGCGGGGGAUAACUACUGGAAACGGUAGCUAAUACCGCAUACCAUCGGAUGUGCCCAGAUGGGAUUGGCUAGUAGGUGGGGUAAAGGCUCACCAAGUCGACGAUCCCUAGCUGGUCUGAGAGGAUGCCCAGCCACACUGGAACUGAGACACGGUCCAGACUCCGACGGGAGGCAGCAGUGGGGAAUAUUGCACAAUGGGCGCAAGCCUGAUGCAGCCAUGCCGCGUGUAUGAAGAAGGCCUUCGGGUUGUAAAGUACUUUCAGCGGGGAGGCGUUACCCGCAGAAGAAGCACCGGCUAACGACGGGCCAGCAGCCGCGGUAAUUC
rnacentral:rRNA from 1 species